UGGAUCCAGCUUUGAUUAUGGCUCAGGAUGAACGCUGGCGGCGUGCCUAAUACAUGCAAGUCGAACGAAACUUCUUUAUCACCGAGCGCUUGCACUCACCGAUAAAGAGUUGAGUGGCGAACGGGUGAGUAACACGUGGGCAACCUGCCCGAAAGAGGGGGAUAACACUUGGAAACAGGUGCUAAUACCGCAUAACCAUGAAUACCGCAUGGUAUUUAUGUGAAAGGUGGUUUCGGCUACCGCUUUCGGAUGGGCCCGCGGCGCAUUAGCUAGUUGGUGGGGUAAAGGCUUACCAAGGCAAUGAUGCGUAGCCGAACUGAGAGGUUGAUCGGCCACAUUGGGACUGUGACACGGCCCAAACUCCUACGGGAGGCAGCGGUAGGGAAUCUUCCACAAUGGGCGAAAGCCUGAUGGAGCAACGCCGCGUGGGUGAAGAAGGUCUUCGGAUCGUAAAACCCUGUUGUCAGAGAAGAAAGUGCAUGAGAGUAACUGUUCAUGUUUCGACGGUAUCUGACCAGAAAGCCACGGCUAACUACGUGCCAGCAGCCGCGGUAAUACGUAGGUGGCAAGCGUUAUCCGGAUUUAUUGGGCGUAAAGGGGACGCAGGCGGUCUUUUAAGUCUGAUGUGAAAGCCUUCGGCUUAACCGGAGUAGUGCAUUGGAAACUGGGAGACUUGAGUGCAGAAGAGGAGAGUGGAACUCCAUGUGUAGCGGUGAAAUGCGUAGAUAUAUGGAAGAACACCAGUGGCGAAAGCGGCUCUCUGGUCUGUAACUGACGCUGAGGUUCGAAAGCGUGGGUAGCAAACAGGACUAGAUACCCUGGUAGUCCACGCCGUAAACGAUGAAUGCUAAGUGUUGGAGGGUUUCCGCCCUUCAGUGCUGCAGUUAACACAAUAAGCAUUCCGCCUGGGGAGUACGACCGCAAGGUUGCAACUGAAAUGAAUUGACGGA
rnacentral:rRNA from 1 species